UAGGGAAUAUUGGACAAUGGGCGCAAGCCUGAUCCAGCCAUCCCGCGUGAAGGAUGAAGGUCCUCUGGAUUGUAAACUUCUUUUCUUUGGGAAUAAAAACUGGGGUUCUCCUCAGCUUGAAGGUACCAGAGGAAUAAGCACCGGCUAACUCCGUGCCAGCAGCCGCGGUAAUACGGAGGGUGCAAGCGUUAUCCGGAUUCACUGGGUUUAAAGGGUGCGUAGGUGGCUUUGUAAGUCAGUGGUGAAAGCUUGGAGCUUAACUCCGAAACUGCCAUUGAUACUGCUUAGCUUGAAUCAGGUCGAGGUGGAUGGAAUAUUACAUGUAGCGGUGAAAUGCUUAGAUAUGUUAUAGAACACCAAUUGCGAAGGCAGUUCACCAGCCCUGUAUUGACACUGAGGCACGAAAGCGUGGGGAUCAAACAGG
rnacentral:rRNA from 1 species